rnacentral:rRNA from 1 species
CGCGAAUGGCUCAUUACAACAGCCAUAGUUUAUUGGAUGUUUACGUUCCUACAAGGACACCUGCGGUAAUUCUGGAGCUAAUACUUGCGAAAUGCGACAACCUCACGGGAGUCGUGCAUUUAUUAGAUUAAACCAAUCGGUCCUUCGGGACCGCCAUUUGGUGAACUCUGAAUAGCUUAGCUGAUCGCACAGUCUCGUACUGGCGACAAAUCUUUCAAGUGUCUGCCUUAUCAACUUUCGAUGGUAGUUUAUACGACUACCAUGGUUGUAACGGGUAACGGAGAAUAAGGGUUCGACUCCGGAGAGGGAGCCUGAGAAACGGCUACCACAUCCAAGGAAGGCAGCAGGCGCGCAAAUUACCCACUCGCAGAACGCGGAGGUAGUGACGAAAAAUAACGAGGUGGCUCUCUAUGAGGUCCAUCAUCGGAGUGGGUACAAUUUAAACCCUUUAACGAGUAUCUAUGAGAGGGCAAGUCCGGUGCCAGCAGCCGCGGUAAUUCCAGCU